UACGUAGGGGGCAAGCGUUGUCCGGAUUUAUUGGGCGUAAAGAGCGUGUAGGCGGUUUGGUAGGUCCGCUGUGAAAACUCGAGCUCAACCUCGAGACGCCGGUGGAAACCAUCAGACUAGAGUCCGGAAGAGGAGAGUGGAAUUCCUGGUGUAGCGGUGAAAUGCGCAGAUAUCAGGAAGAACACCCGUGGCUAAGGCGCUCCCUAGUACGGUACUGACGCUGAGACGCGAAAGCGUGGGGAGCGAACAGG
rnacentral:rRNA from 1 species